AGCGAACGCUGGCGGCAGGCCUAACACAUGCAAGUCGAACGAACUCUUCGGAGUUAGUGGCGGACGGGUGAGUAACACGUGGGAACGUUCCUUUAGGUUCGGAAUAACUCAGGGAAACUUGUGCUAAUACCGAAUGUGCCCUUCGGGGGAAAGAUUUAUCGCCUUUAGAGCGGCCCGCGUCUGAUUAGCUAGUUGGUGAGGUAAAGGCUCACCAAGGCGACGAUCAGUAGCUGGUCUGAGAGGAUGAUCAGCCACAUUGGGACUGAGACACGGCCCAAACUCCUACGGGAGGCAGCAGUGGGGGAUCUUGCGCAAUGGGCGAAAGCCUGACGCAGCCAUGCCGCGUGAAUGAUGAAGGUCUUAGGAUUGUAAAAUUCUUUCACCGGGGACGAUAAUGACGGUACCCGGAGAAGAAGCCCCGGCUAACUUCGUG
rnacentral:rRNA from 1 species